CCACAUGAUCCAGUUUGGGAUUGUCUACUGGUGGCAUCAUGAGGGCACUCAAAUGUCAAACUUUGAAGAUUUUGGAUUCUCAGCACAAAGUCAUUCUUCAACUGGAAUGAGCUCUCAGCACAUUCAGCAACUUGUUGGAACCUGAAGAAUAUUUGAGAAAUAAAACCAACUAAUCAUAAAUGUUGCACUUUAUAUUAUUUGAUUUGCAUAGUAUCCUGUCUUCUUUAUCAACACAUCUACAUAGCACAGAAGAAAGAAAGUUGCUGAUCCUAGACAUGAACAUCAUGUAUUGCUCAGAAGGGAGAAUGUCAGCAGCCCAGCACAAGA